rnacentral:rRNA from 1 species
CAAAACAGGAAUAUACGAAAGUAACCUCUAUCUCGUCUGAUCUCAGAAGCUAAGCAGGGUUGGGCCUGGUUAGUACUUGGAUAGGAGGCCACCUAGGAAGACCGGGUACUGUAGGCA